AAGGAAUAUUGGACAAUGGAGGCAACUCUGAUCCAGCCAUGCCGCGUGAAGGAAUAAGGCCCUAUGGGUUGUAAACUUCUUUUAGACGGGACAAAACCCCUUUACGUGUAAAGGGUUGAUGGUACUGUCAGAAUAAGCAUCGGCUAACUUCGUGCCAGCAGCCGCGGUAAUACGAAGGAUGCAAGCGUUAUCCGGAAUUAUUGGGUUUAAAGGGUGCGUAGGCGGACUAAUAAGUCAGUGGUGAAAGCCUGCAGCUUAACUGCAGAAUUGCCAUUGNUACUGUUAGUCUUGAGUACAGUUGGGGUAGGCGGAAUGUGUCAUGUAGCGGUGAAAUGCUUAGAUAUGACACAGAACACCGAUUGCGAAGGCAGCUUGCUAAGCUGUAACUGACGCUGAGGCACGAAAGCGUGGGGAGCAAACA
rnacentral:rRNA from 1 species